ACGAACGCUGGCGGCGUGCUUAACCCAUGCAAGUCGAACGGAAAGGCCCUGCUUUUGUGGGGUGCUCGAGUGGCGAACGGGUGAGUAACACGUGAGUAACCUGCCCUUGACUUUGGGAUAACUUCAGGAAACUGGGGCUAAUACCGGAUAGGAGCUCCUGCUGCAUGGUGGGGGUUGGAAAGUUUCGGCGGUUGGGGAUGGACUCGCGGCUUAUCAGCUUGUUGGUGGGGUAGUGGCUUACCAAGGCUUUGACGGGUAGCCGGCCUGAGAGGGUGACCGGCCACAUUGGGACUGAGAUUCGGCCCAGACUCCUACGGGAGGCAGCAGUGGGGAAUAUUGCACAAUGGGCGGAAGCCUGAUGCAGCAACGCCGCGUGCGGGAUGACGGCCUUCGGGUUGUAAACCGCUUUCGCCUGUGACGAAGCGUGAGUGACGGUAAUGGGUAAAGAAGCACCGGCUAACUACGUG
rnacentral:rRNA from 1 species